rfam:Medicago truncatula strain A17 chromosome 7, whole genome shotgun sequence.
GUGUCAUGAUCAUUGUUGACCGUUCAUAUAAUCCCUACAAUUGCUUUGCAGCUUAUGUGAGGAUUAUACGAUGGUCAAUAGAGACCUUUGACAU